rnacentral:rRNA from 1 species
GACGAACGCUGGCGGCGUGCUUAACACAUGCAAGUCGAACGGGCCUGUCUUCUUUUUUGGGGGGUGGGUUGAGUGGCGAACGGGUGAGUAUCACGUGAGUAACCUGCCCUUCGGUCCUGGAUAACCGCUUGAAAGGGCGGCUAAUACGGGGUGGUCCGGUUGGUCCGCAUGGGCUGGUCGGGAUAGAUUCACUGUUUUUGGUGUUUCGGCGGGGGAUGGGCUCGCGGCCUAUCAGCUUGUUGGUGGGGUGAUGGCCUACCAAGGCGGUGACGGGUAGCCGGCCUGGGAGGGUGGGCGGCCACACUGGGACGGAGAUACGGCCCAGACUCCUGCGGGAGGCAGCAGUGGGGGGUAUUGCACAAUGGGCGGAAGCCUGAUGCAGCGACGUCGCGUGAGGGAUGGAGGCCUUCGGGUUGUGAACCUCUGUUUCCGGUGGUGAAGGCCCUGUCCGUGUGGUGGGGUUGACGGUAGCCGGGGAUGAAGCGCCGGCUAACUACGUG